rnacentral:lncRNA from 8 species
AUGGACAGGAAUCUAAACAGCUUUUACUUGUAUAUCAGUGAGAACCUGACGGCUGGUGAAGAAUUCCUCAGAUGCCUUGCAGCCAAUAAGCCAGUCCCUGACUUCCUCAAAGGACUGUCGGACUUAGGGAAGGCCGCCAAGGCACCAGGUGUACCAGAAGACCUGGGCUAUGAGAGGCAAAGACUCUGGAGAAAAUCUCGUAGUCCAGCAAAGGAAAGCAGGAGCAAGAGCCGAGCAAAGAGCCAGGUGAGAAGCAAGAGCCGUCCGCGCAGCAGAAGUCAUACCCGAAGAAAAAGCCAGGCAAGAAGCAAAAGCAGACCACGGAGCAGGAGUCACAGUCGUGGAAAGAGCCAGGUCAGAAGCAAAAGCAAGGCUCAUAGUAGCAGCCGGAGCCGAGGGAGAAGUCAGACAAGGAGCAAAAGCAGAGCAAGGAGUAGGAGUCGCAGCCGUGGAAAGUGUCAGGGCCGAGUGGAACAUCACCCAGACCACAGGGACAAAAGGAGCCCCAGUCGGAGCUGUAGCGGCAGCAGCAUCAGUAGUCACGCCUCCGCUUACAAUGACCCGCUCCAGUGCCUCAAACUGGAGGACAGUAUGCCUUCCAUCAAGAAUGCCAUUCUCACAAUCCAGGCCAAUAACUUCAGCAGAGAAAUCCAGAGUAGCAGUAUUCCAGGUUGGCCAGUCUCGGCCAGAAGACAGGAAUUUCUUCAAGUUCCGGAUGGGCCUAAUCCAGUCAGUGGACAGGAAGUUCCCCAGAUGAGACAGCAGGAAACUGACAGCAAUCUCCUCCCCCAUGAGAGAGUGGGCUGUGACUUCUUCUGGCUGCAGGGUACUAGGGAGGUCUCGCCCGUUCAGAAACCGGAGGAGGUUGAGGAUGAGGAGGACUUCCUUUAUGGGAAUGAGGAAAACCAGGCAAAACAACGCCCUGCCACCCUGCCUUUUGCACAGUCCACAACCAUUACCCAGAAAAGCUCUGCAGAGGUCUCACCGGCUGGCCCUCCUUACUAUCAAAGCAUGCCUCUGUUCGGGAACCAUGGUGAAAUCCAGGACUUCAAGAUGCCUCUUCCACUGGUCCAGUUCAGUGUGAGGCCUGAAGCGAGGGUACAGCCUGUCCCUGCUCCUGAUGUGAAACCUGCCCCCGCCCCCACUGUGAAGGAGUGUGAGAAGAUCAAGACCAUGCUGAAAACCAUUGGGCUGAAUCUGGGCACAGCAGAGAUCAGUAAGAUGAUGAUCAAGCUGCAGCAGCAGACGGAUGGGAAGAUGCCGGAGCAGAAGCAGGAGGAGAAACUAGCGUUACCAGCAACAAUGCUGCCUCUUCCUCUUGUAGCUGGGGAAUCACAGGAGCCCAGACUGGCCUCACCAGCACUUAGAACAGCACCAAUACGACAAGCACUGGAGUCUUUACAGUCCAUUAUUAAAGCAACAAGGGAGAAAAGGGCCGAUAGUGAUCCACAUGAUAGCAACCAUUCACAGAGGAAUUCAGACAAACAAAAGAGCAAAGAUGACCAGGCGAGUAAGAGGAGAUCGAGACAGGACCAAAUGAAAAGGAAAGAGACUCUUGUGAAGGAACUGGGGGAAUUGCUAAAGCAGGAUGUGUCUAGCUUUUUAAUUCCUGUCAUCGGGUUCUACUGCCAGAAGUGUGAGGAGUUCUUUGAAGACAUGACCACUGCUGAGAGCCACACAGCAACCCACCGGUGGAAUGAGCUUAGCAUGCAGAAGCAUGGAGACAGACGACCUGAAGAUGACAGACAACCUGAAGAUGACAGAGGGCACCCUAACCUUCACAGCAGACACCCCCUGGCCCCAAAGCGGAGGGACCAGAGAGACCCAAGAGAUCAGAGGAAUCCUGAGCACCAGAGGGAUCACAGGCACCCUGAUCUUAAAUGCAAACUAGGCGAGAGCCCAAAUGGUUACAGGAACGACAGGGAGAAGAUAUAUGUCAAAGAGGAACAACCUGGAAGCCCCAGGAUAAAGAUGACUAUGUUCUGCGGGCACACUCCACCAGGUCUGCAAAAGGCCAGGGGGAGAGAGGAGAAGGGAAUGGUGGAUAAGGGCUCUGGUGCUGCUUCCUCUGGCCCUGCCAGUGGGAGACAUGGUAGGGUGAAACCAGACGAGGUUGAGACCAAAGGAAAGCCCACCGUGGAAGUAUGUGACAAAAAGGAUAAAGAUAAUGGAGAAUGCAGUUCCAGCAGUGACAACGAGAAAAGUACAUCUCCUAAAGGCCACAAAAAGAAGAAGAAGAAGAAAAAGAAGGAUGAGAAGUCUUAGCUGCUGUACUGCAUGUCCUGGUUUGAUUGUUUCUGUGGAUGACCUGGCCUUAGGUAAGUUUGGCAUUGUGGUUGUUUCAGAAGUUGUAGCUUUGAAAGUUAGAAGGAAACUAUUCCUGUGACCUGUUCUCUCCUUUUGAGGUUGCCUUUUUUCAACAAUUAGUUUUUCUGUGUUGUAGUGGAUAACAGCACCUUUUCAUUAAAUUCUGUUGGAGGACAGGACAUUCCAGGUGAAUACAGCAUUUAUCAUGUCCAGAAUCAUUUUGCUGCCAGCCACUGAUCCCAUUGACAAUUAACUUACUGUAAAUGUUUCUAUAAAAAACAUCUCAUAUUGGGCCAUGGUCACAUUUGUUUGUGUUUAUAUUUCACUUGGUUCAACCUUGAUUUAGUGCUGCAAAUAUUAUGUAAUGUAUUUUUGCAAUUAAAUGUCAACUUUCAUUUGAAGUGUGUACUGUGUUUUUCCCUGAUGUGAAACUGUUAUGAUGGAAUUAUUUUAUAAUGGAGAAGUUCACCUGUAAUUCUUGACAUGUAUUGUCCUCUUGUAAUGUAGGUGUCAGUAAUUGACGGAUGAAGUCCAUUAAGUGCAUAUGAGAAUUCUUAGUUUUCAUGUUUCUGUAAGGUGAUCACUGUCGAGUUGUGCAUCUGGUUAUUUACACAGUGCACAGAACAUUAGGAACACCUGCUCUUUCCAUGACAGACUGACCAGGUGAAAACUAUGAUCCCUAUUGAUGUAACUUGUUAAAUCCACUUCAAUCAGUGUAGAUGAAGGGGAGGAGACAAGUUGAAGAAUGUUUUUUAAGCCUUGAGACAUGGAUUGUGUAUGUGUGCCAUUGAGGGUGAAUGGGCAAGACAAAAGAUUUAAGUGACUUUGAACAGGGUAUAGUAGUAGGUGCCAGGCGCAAUGAUUUGAGUGUGUCAAGAACUGCAACGCUGCUGCGUUUUUCACGCUCAACAGUUUCCUCUGUGUAUCAAGAAUGGUCCACCACACAUAGGACAUCAAGCCAACUUGACAACUUUGGGAAGCAUUGGAGUUAACAUGGGCCAGCAUCCCUCUGGAACGAUUUUUCGACACCUUGUAGAUUCCAUGCCCCGUCGAAUUGAGGGUGUUCUCAGUGUACAACAUUAGCCCACUUAUGUUUUUGUCCACUAUUGCGCAAUCUCACAUUUCCUCUGUGUGUGUGUGUAUCAUAUUGAUAGCCUACUGUGUAAGAUUUCAAUUUAUGCUUCUUUUUGGCUUGAUGACAAAUAUAAUUCAUCUGAAUUAGUAGAAUAUUGCUACAAAUUUCAGACAGUUACGGUCAUCACGGUGAAAUAUUAGAUUCUGAAAAGACCAAAGCUACAAUGACAAAUGUUAUGAUAUUUAAUGAUUAGACUUCCUCUACAGUCUUGCUGGAGGCAUUCUUGAAACAGAUGAAGACUGAAAACAUUCUCACAAACAGGUAGCGCUUGCAUGGUUUCUCCUGCGGUUGAGAGGUGGAGGACAGAUCCUCAUGUAUUCUAUGUGCUCGC